rnacentral:rRNA from 1 species
UACAGGGGGUGCAAACGUUGCUCGGAAUUAUUGGGCGUAAAGCGCGCGUAGGCGGCUACUUAAGUCGGAUGUGAAAGCCCCUGGCUCAACUGGGGAAGUGCACCCGAAACUGAGUGGCUUGAGUACUAAAGAGGGUCGCGGAAUUCCCGGUGUAGAGGUGAAAUGCGCAGAUAUCGGGAAGAACACCCGUGGCGAAGGCGGCUCUCUGGGACGGUACUGACGCUGAGACGCGAAAGCGUGGGGAGCGAACAGG